AAACUUNAACCAAUACAAUCUACGAGACGCAAUUGCACGGUGUACCACUCAGGUGUAUCCGAAGUCAUGGACUGCAAUAUAUGUGGCGCUGGACAACGUGGGAAUGUGGAAUUUAAGGUCGGAAUUCUGGGCAAGGCAGUACCUGGGUCAACAGUUUUACUUGAGAGUUUACACGCCAUCGACUUCAUUGAGAGACGAGUACCCAAUUCCAAAGAAUGCUCUGCUCUGUGGAAGAGCCACUGGGAGACGAACCAGGCCACUCUAGGCUCUAUCCUCUGAGCUCAACACAAUCAAAUGAUUUGUCAUGUCGUAUCAUAUCAUAUUUAGUUCUUCUGGGAAGGAUAUU